rnacentral:misc_RNA from 1 species
AGGAAUCUCUCUUAAAAAUAGGAUUAAAAGGGGAGACAGAUUUUGCUUUCAAGCGCAAUCUAAAUACAGACUCCCAUUUCAAAGUCAUUAUCAAUGUGUACUAAAAACAUCAAAAUAUUAAUGGGAAAAAAGCAAAACCUGAAUUUGAAGACGAAUACCAUCAGAGAAGAACAAAUGCCACCAAGAUAAAAGCAAGGUUACACACAACUACAGUGAUCUGAUCCAUGUAAUUAUCUUAUUACUUAGAUUCUUCUAUGAAACCACUACAACAGUGCAAGCAUUCUAUUUAACUAUUGUAAACUAUUGUAACAAAGUAUAUUUUUUCCAUCCCUCCAACUUUGACCAAUGAAGGGCCUAUGAACCCUUUUUCAAGCAGUUGAUGUUUUGAUUGAUAAUCACCACAUCUGGCGUAUCGGAUGAUGAAAAUACCCUUGAAUCUAGGGCAUUAUGUAGACAAAUGUAGAAGUAGGGCAAUACUAAGCUAAUCAAGCAUGUCAAGGAGCAUUGCAUGGAGAUACUCAUUCUACAUUCCUGCACAUCAGAGUUGGCAACACCAGUAGGCAUAGUGUUCAUCCUUGCGAUGGUUACUAACAAGACCUCCACAUUGUAAACAGAUGAAGCUGUUCCCAUCGGAGAAUGCAUCCAACACAACUUGCGUCCUGCCAGUUUCUGCAAGUAUAGAAUUUCCAUGAGCAUCGGAUGGCAGGCCACCUACAUUAAGCAGUGAUGGUUCCACUUUAGAGGGCUGGACUUCAGCAAUUGCACACUCAGCAAACAGAACAGCGAGUUGAUCAACAGCAGUGUGCUCUUGCAACCUAUUUCUGUACAGCUCUCGAGCACGGUGCAGUGACUGAAACACAGCCUCAUCCCCACCUUGGGUACGCAUUGCCAUGACAACCUGUUCCAAUCAAUUGAUCUGUAAUAUGUUCUGAUGAUUUCUUUUUAAAAUUUCAAGCCCUAAAUAUGAAGUUAACAUUCUCUGUACACUUCAUAGAGACCUUUGAACUAUGUAUAUACUCACUUUCACUACAAAUCUUCUCAAGAAAACAUCAUGGAAUGUUCCACAAGUAGUGACAACUUAUCACAAAAAUCCCUUAAGUAACGCACAGAACAUUCACUGACAAGAAAAAUAAUAACUCUUCGAAAUAAAACCACAUUCUUUCCUAUGUUCAUUUUAAUAAGCACGAUCCAAUCAUCCCAAUUGUUUGAAAAGAGAGAGAACAAGAAGAAAAAUUAUUUUAAAUGUUUUCAAAGGCUCCAUUUGUUUCACGAAAAACAUUUUUGUGAAAAAUAUUUUUCGUAUUUUCU